rnacentral:rRNA from 1 species
AACGAACGCUGGCGGCAUGCCUAACACAUGCAAGUCGAACGAGACCUUCGGGUCUAGUGGCGCACGGGUGCGUAACGCGUGGGAACCUGCCCUUAGGUUCGGAAUAACUCCCCGAAAGGGGUGCUAAUACCGGAUAAUGUCUUCGGACCAAAGAUUUAUCGCCUUUGGAUGGGCCCGCGUUGGAUUAGCUAGUUGGUAGGGUAAAAGCCUACCAAGGCGACGAUCCAUAGCUGGUCUGAGAGGAUGAUCAGCCACACUGGGACUGAGACACGGCCCAGACUCCUACGGGAGGCAGCAGUGGGGAAUAUUGGACAAUGGGCGAAAGCCUGAUCCAGCAAUGCCGGGUGAGUGAUGAAGGCCUUAGGGUUGUAAAGCUCUUUUAGCCGGGAUGAUAAUGACAGUACCGGGAGAAUAAGCCCCGGCUAACUCCGUG